rnacentral:rRNA from 1 species
CUACGGGACGCUGCAGUGAGGAAUAUUGGUCAAUGGGCGCGAGCCUGAACCAGCCAUCCCGCGUGCAGGAUGACGGCCCUAUGGGUUGUAAACUGCUUUUCUAUGCCAAGAAACCUGAUUACGUGUAAUCAGUUGCCGGUAGCAUAGGAAUAAGCAUCGGCUAACUCCGGGCCAGCAGCCGCGGUAAUACGGAGGAUGCAAGCGUUAUCCGGAUUCAUUGGGUUUAAAGGGUGCGCAGGUGGGCUUGUAAGUCAGUGGUGAAAUGCUGCCGCUUAACGGUAGAACUGCCAUUGAUACUGCGAGUCUUGAGUAUGGUUGAGGUAGGCGGAAUGUGUUGUGUAGCGGUGAAAUGCAUAGAUAUGACACAGAACGCCAAUUGCGAAGGCAGCUUACUAAGCCAUUACUGACGCUGAGGCACGAAAGCGUGGGGAGCGAACAGGAUUAGAUACCCUAGUAGUC